UUUGUUGGCGGGGUAACGGCCCACCAAGGCGACGAUCAGUAGGGGUUCUGAGAGGAAGGUCCCCCACAUUGGAACUGAGACACGGUCCAAACUCCUACGGGAGGCAGCAGUGAGGAAUAUUGGUCAAUGGGCGAGAGCCUGAACCAGCCAAGUAGCGUGCAGGAUGACGGCCCUAUGGGUUGUAAACUGCUUUUAUAAGGGAAUAAAGUGAGUCUCGUGAGACUUUUUGCAUGUACCUUAUGAAUAAGGACCGGCUAAUUCCGUGCCAGCAGCCGCGGUAAUACGGAAGGUCCGGGCGUUAUCCGGAUUUAUUGGGUUUAAAGGGAGCGUAGGCCGGAGAUUAAGCGUGUUGUGAAAUGUAGACGCUCAACGUCUGCACUGCAGCGCGAACUGGUUUCCUUGAGUACGCACAAAGUGGGCGGAAUUCGUGGUGUAGCGGUGAAAUGCUUAGAUAUCACGAAGAACUCCGAUUGCGAAGGCAGCUCACUGGAGCGCAACUGACGCUGAAGCUCGAAAGUGCGGGUAUCGAACAGGAUUAGAUACCCUGGUAGUCCGCACGGUAAACGAUGGAUGCCCGCUGUUGGUCUGAAUAGGUCAGCGGCCAAGCGAAAGCAUUAAGCAUCCCACCUGGGGAGUAC
rnacentral:rRNA from 1 species